AUACGGAGGAUCCGAGCGUUAUCCGGAUUUAUUGGGUUUAAAGGGUGCGCAGGCGGCCAUUUAAGUCAGCGGUUAAAUCGUGGGGCUCAACCCCAUUCUGCCGUUGAUACUGGGUGGCUUGAUUGCGGUCGAGGUUGGCGGAAUUCGUUGUGUAGCGGUGGAAUGCAUAGAUAUGACGAAGAACACCGAUUGCGUAGGCAGCUGACCAGACCGCAAAUGACGCUCAUGCACGAAAGUGCGGGGAUCGAACAGGAUUAGAUACCCUGGUAGUCCGCACAGUAAACGAUGAAUACUUGUUUUCGGCGAUAUAAUGUCGGAGGCAAAGCGAAAGCGAUAAGUAUUCCACCUGGGGAGUACGCCGGCAACGGUGAAACUCAAAUGAAUUGACGGGG
rnacentral:rRNA from 1 species